rnacentral:rRNA from 1 species
GAUGAACGCUGACAGAAUGCUUAACACAUGCAAGUCAACUGUGGCGGACGGGUGAGUAACGCGUAAAGAACUUGCCUCACAGAUAGGGACAACAUUUGGAAACGAAUGCUAAUACCUGAUACUGUGAGAGAGCUUUGCGUCCCAGUAGCUAGUUGGAGAGGUAACGGCUAACCAAGGCGAUGAUGGGUAGCCGGCCUGAGAUGGUGAUCGGCCACAAGGGGACUGAGACACGGCCCGUACUCCUGCGGGAGGCAGAAGUGGGGAACAUUGGACAAUGGACCAAAGUCUGAUCCAGCAAUUCUGUGUGCACGAUGAAGUUUUCGGAAUGUAAAGGGCUUUCAGUUGGGAAGCGGUACCAACAGAAGAAGUGACGGCUAAAUACGUGCCAGCAGCCGCAGUAAUAC